GUGCCAGCCGCCGCGGUAAUACGGACCGGACAAACGUUAUUCGGAAUCACUGGGCUUAAAGAGUACGUAGGCGGCUCAGAAAGUUGGGUGUGAAAUCCCUCGGCUCAACCGAGGAAUUGCGCUCAAAACUACUGUGCUUGAGGAAGGUAGGGGUAAGCGGAACUGAUGGUGGAGCGGUGAAAUGCGUUGAUAUCAUCAGGAACACCAGUGGCGAAGGCGGCUUACUGGGCCUUUUCUGACGCUGAGGUACGAAAGCUAGGGUAGCGAACGGGAUUAGAAACCCCCGUAGUCC
rnacentral:rRNA from 1 species